rnacentral:rRNA from 1 species
AGUGAACGCUGGCGGUAGGCCUAACACAUGCAAGUCGAACGGCAGCACAGUAAGAGCUUGCUCUUACGGGUGGCGAGUGGCGGACGGGUGAGGAAUACAUCGGAAUCUACUUUUUUGUGGGGGAUAACGUAGGGAAACUUACGCUAAUACCGCAUACGACCUACGGGUGAAAGCAGGGGAUCUUCGGACCUUGCGCGAUUGAAUGAGCCGAUGUCGGAUUAGCUAGUUGGCGGGGUAAAGGCCCACCAAGGCGACGAUCCGUAGCUGGUCUGAGAGGAUGAUCAGCCACACUGGAACUGAGACACGGUCCAGACUCCUACGGGAGGCAGCAGUGGGGAAUAUUGGACAAUGGGCGCAAGCCUGAUCCAGCCAUACCGCGUGGGUGAAGAAGGCCAUCGGGUUGUAAAGCCCUUUUGUUGGGAAAGAAAAGCAGCAGGUUAAUACCCCGCUGUUCUGACGGUACCCAAAGAAUAAGCACCGGCUAACUUCGUG